rnacentral:tRNA from 1 species
GCAGACGUGGCCGAGGGGUUAAGGCGAUGGAAUAGAAAUCCAUUGGGGUCUCCCGCACAGGUUCGAAUCCUGUUGACUGCG